GUGCCAGCCGCCGCGGUAAGACGAACCGUCCUAACGUUGUUCGGAUUCACUGGGCUUAAAGGGCGCGUAGGCGGGUGAGCAAGUCCGGGGUGAAAUCUUUCGGCUUAACCGGAAAACUGCCUUGGAUACUGCUCGUCUAGAGGGAGGUAGGGGUCUGCGGAACUUCCGGUGGAGCGGUGAAAUGCGUUGAUAUCGGAAGGAACGCCGGUGGCGAAAGCGGCGGACUGGACCUCUUCUGACGCUGAGGCGCGAAAGCCAGGGGAGCAAACGGGAUUAGAAACCCCCGUAGUCC
rnacentral:rRNA from 1 species